AGUCAACAUGCCCAGAGGACGUGGAUAACCUCAGGAAACUGAGGAUAAACCGCGAUAGGUCACUACUUCUGGAAUGGGUAAUGACUUAAAUCUAUAUGGCCCCUGGAUUGGACUGCGGCCGAUCAGGCUGUUGGUGAGGUAAUGGCCCACCAAACCUGUAACCGGUACGGGCUCUGAGAGGAGGAGCCCGGAGAUGGGCACUGAGACAAGGGCCCAGGCCCUAUGGGGCGCAGCAGGCGCGAAACCUCUGCAAUAGGCGAAAGCCUGACAGGGUUACUCUGAGUGAUUUCCGUUAAGGAGAUCUUUUGGCACCUCUAAAAAUGGUGCAGAAUAAGGGGUGGGCAAGUCUGGUGUCAGCCGCCGCGGUAAUACCAGCACCCCGAGUGGUCGGGACGUUUAUUGGGCCUAAAGCAUCCGUAGCCGGUUCUACAAGUCUUCCGUUAAAUCCACCUGCUUAACAGAUGGGCUGCGGAAGAUACUAUGGAGCUAGGAGGCGGGAGAGGCAAGCGGUACUCGAUGGGUAGGGGUAAAAUCCGUUGAUCCAUUGAAGACCACCAGUGGCGAAGGCGGCUUGCCAGAACGCGCUCGACGGUGAGGGAUGAAAGCUGGGGGAGCAAACCGGAUUAGAUACCCGGGUAGUCCCAGCUGUAAACGAUGCAGACUCGGUGAUGAAUUGGCUUCAUGCCAAUUCAGUGCCGCAGGGAAGCCGUUAAGUUUGCCGCCUGGGGAGUACGGUCGCAAGACUGAAACUUAA
rnacentral:rRNA from 1 species